rnacentral:lncRNA from 1 species
UGCAGCCAUUUCGUAGAGUGACGUUUUCUGUUGUGAGUCAGCCUCAGGACCCACAUCAGGGGUCACUGCAGAGUUGCUAUGACAGCGGGCUGGAGGAGUCAGAGACACCAAGCAGUAAGAGUUCAUCAGGGCCAAGGCUGGGUGCCCUUCCACUCCCAGAGGACAGCUACGAAAGGACCACGCCGGAUGGCAGUGUUGGUGAGGCAGAGCAUAUGGAAAAUGGUAGGGGCAAACACAGCAUCCACACACAUAAUCACGCUAGUGAGCCAUAAUAAGUAGACUCAUGAGGCUCAGUCUAAAUCCAAGACAAAAUAGCUGACAUUGAAACUAUUGUACCUAAAAAAAAUAUUUGCUAAAGUCCAGAAAUACCAAAUAAAGGAACAUAACUGUAUAGAUAAAAUUCACCAAACUUGCACCAUCAUUUUCAAACAACCUGUCAGAAGUAAACACAUUUACAAAUAAAUCAGACUAGUACCUUCUAUGAAAAAAAAAAAAAAAACUAAACUAAAUUAACUCAUAAUACUUAAACGAUAGAAACUGAUAAAGGUCUUGUGUUAUUGUUUUCUUCUAUUCAUUUUUGUCAUGCAACUAUUUCUUCAACUGCAAUUGUCCAGCCUCAGUGAAAGGAAAUGACAAUAAACACACUUUGCUCAAUUCUUUCUUUUCUGACGUAUUCAGUAAAGCGUUUUGGAACCUCUCCUUUUGAGUGAUAGCUGAAAUGGAGUCAAACAAGAACAAUGAUAUCUUAUUCUCAAAAAAUAGAUUGUAAAUACUAUUAGAACUCCUUGUCAUUUAAUUAUAAGGUUUUUUUUUCUUCUCAUUUUUGUGCAAGGGAAAGAGAAGAAAGCAAAUUUUAGGACUCCAUAUUCUUACCCUUUUGUGAGAUGAUUCUCAUAAUUACCACAAUUGGCCUUCUCUACACUUUCUUGAUGUUAUAAAGUUAGACUGCAGAUAGUUCUUAUAAACUUUUCACAUCUGUUUAUGUUUCCCCCAAACGGGUGAUUUAUUUUUUGGAUUUCAGGUUAUAAGUAAAUGUCUUAGGAAUAGCUUUGUGUCAAAUUAUGGAACAGGAAAGUUCAUACUAAUUUUAUGAUUAUUUCAAAUGUAAAAAGAGAUUUGGUUAUAUGUAAGUGAAGGAAGGGGGAUCACACACAUUAUAUCUCUGGUGAACACUUGAAAUGGAUUUGCCUUUCACCAUCCCAUCCCCCAAGUGAAAUAAGACAUUCUAACUUUUGUUAUACACUGGUUUCUUUAGUGAUGGUAUGCAAAUAGAGCAUAUUAAUUCAGGGAAAUCUGAUUUUUUUUUCUGGAAGUUUACCUAUGAAUAUUAAAAUCCAACCUUAGAGCGUAAUAGAUGACAAGUGAGCUCAAGUGAAAUUAUGGCUAAACUAAAUCAUGUUAAAUAAUUAGUUUUCUACAUUGUUAUCUGGGUGAGAAGAUAUGAUAUCAGGAUCUGUUGAUGGAUAUCCCUCUUGAUGAACAAUCCAGAGUUAUAUGGCAUUUGCCUUAUGGCUAUAAAGGCAUGCUUAUCUGUGUGUAUGGGGGUGUAUGAGUAUGUGGAUGGGAGUUUGAUGUGCUUUUUAAGAAUUAACUAUUUUUAGUAUCAUUCUAAAUGACUACCAAAUUUUGGUAUAAAUUACAUUGCUGAUGAAUAUAUUUCUAAGGCAAAUAUGUUUGAAAUGCUUUGCACAAAAGUAAAAAUUAAGCUAAGAUACUAUAAUAAUAUUACACAUACACACACCUAAGAAGGAAGGAAGGAUUGAUUUAUUUUAAGGACAUUCCUAUAUCUGUGAUUACCUUUUGAUGUUAUCAUUUUAUUUAAUACUUAAAUACUUAAAAAAGUAUUUAUCUCAUUCUCAGCAACCGUAUGUAUAAGGAAGUCUUUAUUUUGGGAUGUCAGCUAUAUUAACAGAAAGGAUUUUGCAUCAUUGGCAUUAUAAUCACAUUUUAAUGUUAUUUUUCUGUUUUUUUUGAGUUUAAGGGGAUUCGACCUUUAAAAUAAGAAAGAAAUGAUGAGUAAGAAACAUAAUUAUAUGUGACAAACACAUUAUCAGUUACUUUUUAGGAAACAUACAUGUCAUGGAAAACUUAACAGGUGAGCUUGUUAAGAAACUAGAAAGUUUACUGAGAAACAUUUCCCACAUAAGGUGUUUAGUUAUUUUUUGUAACCAUGUUUUUAGUCUUGUCAUCAGCAAAGACCAUCAUAAUAGAACUGAUUUUUCUGAUUUUGUGUGUAACUGACACUUGAAAUUCAGUUUUAUGUAAUCAUUUGUCAUCUGCCAGCCGUGAUUCAUGUUAGUCUUGAUCUAUAGGUAAUGACAGAAGGAGACGUGAUUCACUUUGGGUGAUCCAAAUGUAGCAGUUGGCAUUUGAAUAAGUUUUGUUGGGACCAAGUUUUCAGACUACUAUCUAGUCAUAAAGUACAAUUGUAUUGCUUGAAUUCUGGUAAUUUCAUCUUCAAUAUUAAUGGAUCAUUCUGACAUAAAUAGAAUUGGAAUUGAAACCUGUCAAGUAUUCAUUUGUCACCUUUAAUUGGAAUCCAGGUAAUCUGCAACGUUUUGCUUGGUUAGGUUUUAAUCAGGAUUUGUAUUGGAUUUUCUAUGAAAAUACCAUUUUGGAUGCUGUCCUAGUUCCUAAUUAUUAUUACCUCAAAUGUUUUCUUUAAUUUUAACCCAUGUGAAAUAAUGUAGUUAUAACUGAUUUUUGGAUUAACUUUCAUUGUAAAGUUUGGAAGAUAAUUUUCCAGUGCAAAAACAACAUUCCAAUGUCACGACGUGACCUGGGUAUACGCUAGAAAAGCUAAUGAUAAAAAUAAGUUGUCACAGAUGCUUUAGUAAGGAAAUAACUAAAAGUAACUGAAAUAACUAAAAGGAAAAUUUAAGUAGAUAAGUAGUGAAAUGCACUUAUGUUUUACAAAAGCUUUUAUUUGCUUCCUAUACUUUAGCAUAAUAAACACAAUUUUAUAAAGAGGGCUUGUGGAUUAAUAGGUUUUAUAAUAAGCUUUAGCCUACAUUCCAACCCACCUUACUGUCAAAUGAUGAAUGAGGUUUUAUUCUUUUAUUAGCUUAGGAAAAAGAAUACACUGUAAGAAUAAACAUAAUUUCGUGAAACCUGAAUCUAAUAAUUAGAAUGAGUCCCACCAUUUUAAUAAUUUCAGACCCAGGGUACUUAUAUCCAUGGGUCUCUGGAAAGCGGUAAUGGAAACGGUAUCAUUAAAAAGUAUUUUAAGGAUUGUUUAUGAAUUAUACAUUAAUUUAUGAAAAAGAUCACUAAAAUAUUUUCUUUUCUCUUUAUUAUUAUCAAUAGUAUGAUUAUUUCAUGUUGGUCUUUCGAUAAGAUUGGGGAAAUUGGUUAUUUAUUAUUUCAAUAAAAUAUUCCUAACGGGAUAAGGUAUUUUAGAAUAGGGAGCUCAUGAUAGGAAGUUUAGUAAUGAUAAAAUACUUGAUAAUGACAUGUUGAAACAAUUGGAAACCUACUGCAAUAAAUUCAUAAUUCAAGUGAAACCCAAAUAGUAAGCUUAAAACCAUCAUCACAUUAGGAGCAUACAUUGACUAUGCAAGAACUUGCCCUUUUCUACAUUAGGCAGUUGUCGUCAGACUUUCUCACAGAGUGGUAUUUAACCUUCGCUUUAGCUCUAUUGUCACUAUUUAUCUUGACUUUUGAAUUAAUGCCAUAGUCAUCUUAUUCUUCCCAGUCGCCCCCCAGAAUUACCUUUGCAAGUUAAUUUGGCUUUGUUAUAUAUCAUGUAACCAUAUAUAGUGUUCAACAAUUCAAAUAUAAGAAAUAUUUGACCUCCAAUCCCAAUUUUGCCAUUAUGAAUGGGUAGGUCACAAACUCCUUCUGGAUCUGCUACUAAUCAUUUGUAAGGCAGUUAACAGAAUUAAAUCUAAAAUCUUACUCAAAUCCAACAAUCUGUGAUUUUUUUCUUACAUCCCAUUUUUCUUAUAUGUUUUACUUUCCAAGUCAGAAAAAGUACUUUGGGUCUCUUAGUGAGAUGGCAAAUGAAUUUGAAAAUUUGUGCUAAUGUGAGCAGGGAAGAAUUCUAGGGCCUUCCUUGCAACCUACAAAACGUGCAUUUUAAUAGUAGUAAUGCAUGUAUGAGAUAAAGAAGUGAAGUGAGUGAAAUUGUGUGAUUUCUGACUAGGUGAGUAGAAAUGUUGGUACCUUACAGGUCAAUGUGGGAGACAAUUUUAGAGCCUCCCUCAAAUCACACCAUGCAAGAGCUAUCUGUAGAUUUGAUCUGGCCCUGGGUGUAAUGCCCUUCAAAACAUUAAUUGUAAUUAAGUGAUCUCACAAUAGAAUGAACACGUUUACUUUCUUGUUUGACAACGUACUUUGAUCAGAGUAAGAAUGAACAAAAGGUAGAAAAUGGUAUUUAUUUUCCUCUAGGUAAACCUCCGACUAGUAUAACAUAGACGUAAAUUAAAACUGGAAAAUAGCAGUUGGUCUGUAAAGCAGAUUUCAAAAACUUAAAUAAAGUAAAAAAGAAAUUGACCACGCUAAAUGCCUAAUUAAUUUUCUGCCACUUUAUGUUCUCAGAUUUUUAAAAGAUCAUUUUGAUAUUUAUACACUAAUAUUUUUGAGCGUACCCCCACUUCCAAGCUCUCUUACAUUUUCAGAAUUAUAUGUUAGGCUUAAUCAUUGUUUCAGUCAUUCCCCUCACUCCACAUGUGUUCAAUAGGGUUUAGAAUACAUUGUUUUUGAUGGUUAGAACAUGGUACAGUCCAUCACAAAGCCAUUUUGUAUAUGCUAUGUGCUUGUCCUUUGAUUUCAGAAAUAAAUGACAGUAUAUGUGAAAUACCAAUUGGAAAUGAAGUACCAUUUUUAUAUGAACAAGGAUAAUGAGGAUGGAGACUAACCUCAUAACCUGGUGUGGGAUAAAGGGUUUUCUCUCUGCUUUUCUCCCAUCUAUCCAAUUUCCAAUUCACCUACCCAAUGGGGGUCACUUUUCGGGUACCCCCAUCUAGUCACUGUUGGUUUGUACUGUUUUCAUUUAGACUAAAUUAAAUAACAAGUCAGUCUCCCAUCUUUCCAAAGAUGCCCAAAUACUUGUUAAUGGCAGGAGCGUAAUCUCUCAAAACAAAUGCCCCACCUAUUUUUUUUUUUUUUUUCCUUCAGGAAGACACUCACAUACCCUGGAAAGGAUUCAUUUCCAUGGUUCUGUUUUUCAGUGUGGCACUCUUGUUGCCAGAGUUGGAUUGCAUUUUCUCCUUUUCUAGUCAUCUGUGAAAUGGCUUUGUGCCUCUCGAGUAUCCCCAAGUCCACCAUGCCCCCACUUUUGUAGGGCUUUACUCAGUUGUGCUUUUUCGUGGUGAUUAGAGACAGCAAGUAAUUACAGAUGUUGUCUCCAAUCAAGAUGUGGGCUGCGGAAGUUUUCUAGUAAAUGAGCAGCACAAUCCAAAAGAAUCCAAAGAAGAUACUGUCCUAGACAAGAAGCAACGUUGUCUGUAGAAUAUAGUGGUUUAAAAAAUAGACUUUGCAACCAGAUGACAUCGGUUUGAAUUCUGGUUUGUCCUCUUAGUAACAGUGCAGUUUUCUGACCUCUCUUAGCCCUGCUUCCUUCAAUAGUAAAUCAUACUAUUGUGGGAGAAACUAAAUGAAGUAAUAGCACCUAAUAAUUUAUACUUAAAUAAUGGGUAGCAAUAGUUUCACCAUAUGAACUGAUGAUAGAAUUGUUUACUAUGAUUCAAAUAGUAACGGGAAGUAAUUUUGAUUAUUGACUUUAGGCAGAUUUUACAUAACACAAUAGCUUAAUCAUGAAAGCAUCAGAUAUGUUUAAGUAUAUCAAGGAUCUGAAAUGAAAGGAAGGGAGGAUUCUAUCCUCUGGCAUCAAAUCAACCCCACUCUCUGUGCUCUUCACCUUUCAAGGUGGGGAUAAGUCAUCAUUACUUCCUAUAUUCCUUUCUCACUUUUAAAAUCUUUUUACAUUUAUGCUCAGGGUUCCUGUUGAAUGCGUAUUCUUCAGGUGUGUAUUUCCCUUUGAACUGCUCUAAAAUAUUCACACUGACAGGGAAAACAAGCUGAAAAAAGUGACCAAUUAGUAUGCUUACCGAACUCUCAGCCCUUUCUUUUUUAAUCUCAGUAUUAAUAAUUAACACUGAUAAAAUGUGUGGCCAUAUUACCCUUUUUAUUCUAAUUUGGUCCUUUAAAACUAGAUCACUCUAUUGAGCCCUUAUGACAUUUGAGGACAGAAUGAGCUCUCAUCAAAUCUCAAAGUGACUUUAGAGGUCAGUUAGUGUCUUUGUUGCCUUCAGACUCUCAAAUCAUUUGCUUAUCUGAAUUCCAGCACACUUGUUAGAUAAUGCAUUCGACGUGUAGCUCCUUAUUUAGUUAGGGUAUUAUCUCCAUAUUUUUUGCAUCCUUUUUUUGCAGAUAGACUUUUCUGAUUUUUCUCUAGAGUUAUGUAUAAAAAAAAUUGAUGUUGCUGACAUAUGACAACACUCUUAAGCAUCUUUUAUGUGUCAAAGAAAUGGUAGAAUUUGUCUGUAAAGUGUAGUUAACCCUCAACCUCAGAAGUUAGUCCACUUAUUGAGAAACUGUUUCACUUGAGUAUUCUUCUUUGAGGAUAAAACACACUCUGUUGUUAUCUCUUCUAUUGCAGCUAUUUAAAAAAAAUAAUGUUUAUUUAUUUUUGACAGAGAAAGAGACAGAGUAUGAUCAGGGGAGGGUCAGAGAGAGAGGGAGACACGGAAUCUGAAGCAGGCUUCAGGCUCCGAGCUGUCAGCACAGAGCCCGACGCGGGGUUCGAACUCACAGAUCGAGAGAUUAUGACCUGACCCGAAGUCGGAUGCUCAACCAACUGAGCCACCCAGGCACCCCUAUUUUUUUUUUUAAUUUAUGAAAAGCAUUAUCUUUUUAAGUAAAGCAAAGUGGAAUAUUAUCCCUGUCUCUUGUUUAACGAGGUAAUUAUAUACUGACAAAUCUGUGGUUAUUCGUUUGAUUCAACAAAUGUGUUGAAAAUAAAAUAUGACCAAGGUUCUCUGAGGAAGUUGAAGUGAAUGAGAAAGAAUCUCUGACUUCAUGGUACAAGUCCUUAUGUUGGGGCGAUACAAACUUGAUUUCAAUAACUUCACUAUAAUGUGAGAGGAGGAAACUCAUUAGAGGAGUUCAGAGCAGUGAAGUACCGAGAAGGGAGAGGAAAAAUACACAGAUGAAAUGAUUUCAAAUGCACUUAUUGGAAUUUUUACAUUAUAAAUAACUUCUUGGGCUGGGAGAAGGCCUUAAAAUGUUAUCUGCAUUGUACCCUCUCUUUCUCCCUACCCAUUUCUACAUCACUUAAAAAUAAUUAUUAAAUUGGCCUGGAGGCUUCAUGUUAAGCCAAAAAAGUCAAAUUAUUUGUUUAAUUUUUCUAAUCAAAUUAUUGUUUUUUUUCCCUUUUUUAUCUUCCUUUUGUUCUUGUUGCUACACAUAAUUACUUAGAAAACUCUAGAAUUUAUCUGGGAUGAAAUUGGCAGAACACUAAAUCCAGGUCUAAACUACAAAACAGAUUAAAUUUAUGUCUGUUCUCGCUCCACUUAUAAAUAUGGAUAAUUAAUAAUAAAAUGUGUGCUUUAUAUAAAGUUCUUUCAAUCUUAAUAAGGGCCUGUAAAUAAUUUUUUGAAGUUAUUGUCUUUUCAGAAGACCAAUUAUAUUACUCAAGUAGAUGAUUAGAUUAAAGAUUGGAUUAGAUUAGUUGUAUUUUUUAAAAACUAAUGCAUUCCUUGUGCUGUGGUUGCAAAUUGUUUUUGUGAUUGCUAUCUUAAGUUUCAAGCUAAGUUCAUGGAGGUUAGUCUUUAUGUCAUAUGCCCUUUCAAUCUGAAAUAUGGACAAAAGGUUGCCUUGUUUCUAAAUCUUAUUUCGGAUACAUUUUUACUUAAAUGCAGGUUGAUUUUUUUUUUUUUCAACGUUUAUUUAUUUUGGGGACAGAGAGAGACAGAGCAUGAACGGGGGAGGGGCAGAGAGAGAGGGAGACACAGAAUCGGAAACAGGCUCCAGGCUCUGAGCCAUCAGCCCAGAGCCCGACGCGGGGCUCGAACUCCCGGACCGCGAGAUCGUGACCUGGCUGAAGUCGGACGCUUAACCGACUGCGCCACCCAGGCGCCCCACAGGUUGAUUUUUUUUUUGACAUGAGUCUCAUCAUUUUGCAUGCCUUCUCAUUACUGUCCAAAAAGGAGAAUUAUAAGUUUAUUACAAAAUGAGGAUAUGUUUUAAACACAUGCAAAUUUAAAUGCUUCCUUUAAAUAGAUUUUCAACUGCCAAAAUAUGAUAAUCUCAAAACCCACUAAUUUUUGAAACUGUAUGCUCAAAUGAAACUAUGAUGAGUGUUAUAUAGUGUUUUGGUAAUAAAAGAUAGUAGAGCAGUGUCCUGCUGCUUAAAAACUGUCGACUCAUUCAUUUUUGUUGCAAAAUAAAUCUUUUACAAGUUUAUUUCCACUCUGAAAUGUUCAUCAUCUACAUUGAUGAAGUCACCAGGGGACCCACAUGUGGUCUGAGAAGUGGUAUGCUUCUCUGAGGUUGCAUUCCUAUCAGCCAUAGUGCCUAGACUGAAUUAUGCCCAUUGUUUUUAUUCAGUAUGAGGCUGCAUUUCACCAACUCAGCAAUUGUAGCAAAAGGUCAUAGCAGUCAUAGCUGAAAAUUUUAUACAAUGAACAGGGAAUUUAGGAUAUUAAGAGAAUUCAUCGACUUCAAUAACCAUUUCUUGAGCAUUUACUCCGUGCCCAUUCCCAUGAGGGAUCCAAAGGUGAAUGAGACAUGCUCUCUAACUUCUAAUCAUUUGCAUAUUGUGAUGGAGAAUGGCAUGUACCAACUUAGAUGAUUAAAAAUAAAGUCAUGAGAGGCUCUAUGCAGAUUUUAAAAUGCAUGCUACCCAAACCAUAGGAUGAUAUGAGUUAGGGAUAUGAAAACCCACAGCCAAGCUUUGAAGGAUAGGUAAGUAGAGAUUUGAUAAGUAGAAAUAUGGGCAAAGUUAUAAAGAAUAGUGAGUGAUGCCAAGGAGACCAAUCUGAGAGGGUGGCAAAACUGGGGUGCUACUUUGCCAAACGGGCAAAAAUGCGAAGAAUAGCCCAUUUCCAGGAGAAUUAAUCUGAUUAAGACAUGUGAACUUUAAAGUACCUUUGCAAAAUUCAGACAAUAUCUAGAAGACCUUCAGAAAUGUACAUCUGAAAUUAGGGAGUAUACACAGAUAGAAAUAUAGCCUUAGGAGUUAGUAUCACCCUGGUGAUUAUGAAAUCUUGGGAAUAGUGAGACCAUCUCUUAAACAUUUGACACUGGGAAGAGAUGAUACCCAACAUGGAAUCUGAAAAAAAUGAUGAAAUAUAAAAGAGUAAUGGAGAAGUAGGUUUCAGUGAAGGUUCCUGAGAAUGAUAUUUUUUAAAAGCAAAAACAAAAUAUGGCAGGCUGAGGGCAUAUUUAGAAUUAGGACAGUAGUGGUUAUCAAAUGUCCAGUGUUGCAGAGAUGAAAGAAGUAGACACGUGAUCAUGCAGACCUUGAUAAUGAAAGGAACUAGUAAACCCAACUGAGAGACAUGUUGUUCUCUACAUUCUUCUCUUCCGCUGUGCUGUAAGCUGUUUGAGGACAGGGCCUUCACCUUGGCCUAGAUAUAACUGGAAUAAUCCCUAUACACAGUUAUCCAAAAAAAUUGUUGAACUUAGUUGUGUGGAAUAAGGGCCCAAUGUUUCUGAUAGAGAUUCAGCAGAAGUGAAACAACUAAGAGAACUGAAGACCAGGAAAUGUAGUAUAAAAAUACACUUAAGAAUUUCUUUUUAGGUCAAACUAGACAAUUAUAAUGUCAUUAUCAAAGGUGGGGGCAGGGUUUCAUCCCUUGACAGUAAUCUUAAUUAAUUUCUUAUCAUCUUAUGCUCCUAUUGUUCAGAAUUAUUAUUUAUUUUUUAUGAAAUUUACUGAAAGUACUACAGAGUCUGAAAUUUCUGUAUAGUAGCUUCCAUAUUUCCUUGAGUAAUAUAUUAGCUACUCUUUUAAAUGAGUUUUGGCCUCUUACUUUUAUAUUUUGCUUUAUACUAGGCCAUCAUUUGUCCAUCUCACUGGCUUGAAAUUCAAAUAGUGCCUGACUAAUUGCAUUUUUUGUGAGAUCUAAUAAUUGAUAACAUUUUCCUGGUCAUCAUCAAAAAUUUUAUUUUGUGAUUAUGGGAUUCCUGACACUAUAAAAGUGCCAUUAAUUGUUGGUAAUACUGUGCAAAUAGAUAUGCUUCAAAACAGAAAAUAAUGAAAAUACAAUUUGGUUGAGAAAUAAAUUCAAGCAACAUAGUACAAGGACUGUCCAUAUUCAGUCUAUUUUAUAUGUAAACAACACUACAGAAAUGCAUGUUAAAGAUGCUUACCAUAGCUAGUACACCAUGCAAAGGAAGAAAUGCCUCCAAAUAUAUUAUGUGCAAAGACUUACUAAUAACGAUUUUCCGGGCAGAUGUCACUUUUGAUGUUGUUUUUAUCUAAGGAAGGUCAACCAUCAAUGUCACAUAAAUUUAUUCUCCUUUCUCUGUGUUCAUUAUUGCUUAGUAGGAAUUGUGAAUAGGGACUUUAUUGAUAAAACUUGUCUUCCAGCCCAAGGUAAUCUAACCAAUUGCUGCAUAAUAAUUUCUAAAUAAAAAUGCCACCUCUAUUUAAUGACACAUAUGUCUACUUGGCUCAUCAGAAAUCUCUAGAAAUAUCAAUUUGUAGCCUGCUAUAUGCAUUUGCCGUUGUCCUGAAACUUUCAACAGAUUGUAUGAAAAUGUAAGGUGUGCCAAGAGAAGGCUAUCUGUCUGAUUACCAGGUGGCCUCUAGGUGGUACCUGGAAUUUUUUUCUUAAUCUAAAAAUCCAAUUUUUAUCAGUGCACAUUUUACCAGUGCACAGAAUUGUACAAAGCCAAGGCCAGUUCUCAACAAUAUCACAAGAUCCUGAUGUUGAACUUGAGCAUUAGUUUAUUAAAUUUUGAGGAGUGUAUCCUAUUCAAGAAAUUGGAAAAUCCUUGCUUCCUCUUCAAGACAGUACCCUUUAUCUCUAAAGAGACCCAAGGAAAAUCGGCAGCAUUAUCUCUUGAAAGAUUGCCUGGUGACGAUGGAAUCAUAAGAGGGACUUUGUCAUCCAGACGCACUGAGGCUAGAUGACGUUUACUGAAACACAUCCACCACUGAAUGGAUCAUCUCCUGAAAAAUAGAUUGCAUUGGCUCCCUAGAUUCGGGGCAUCUUUUAGUACUAGGUGCCAACCAAGAUGCUGUGUCCUAACUUGUGUUUGUUGCUUUUGUUGUUUUCUUGCUUUCUGUUCUCUUUAAGGUCAUCUCUUAAGGAUUUUGCAUAUUCUUUCUUAAAAUAUGUAAAUGAUUUUUUCAAUAUCAGCUUUAAGCAUGCUUAUAUAACCAGACUUCUUUUCAUUCCUUGCUUCUGGUCUAUUCUGUAAGGUGUCUUUGCAUUACCUAAACAUUUAACCAAUUAUUCAUCAGAGCUAUUAUUUACCUGCAUAGUUACUAACAGUUCCUCUUGAGUGUGUGAUAUCUAACACUCACAAUGGUGUAUCAAAAAUAUCUUCUAGACAUAUACGUAAUUUUUUUAAAUUGUUGUUUCUAUAGUCAUAAUUUCUUGGAUGACUCCACCUAAAAAAAUUCAAUCUUCAAAUAUAUAAAUACUUGAGGAAAUUAAGUUUUAAGACCCAAUCCUUAUUUUUUCCCUUUACUUUGGUCAGUGCAAUGUUAACCAUACAUCAUCAUCUUUAAAUAGGUGAUUGGAAGCAACAUGUUCACACAGAACUGUAUUUUAUCAGAGUUCUUUGCCUUAAACUUCCUCCCCUUUAUUCGGUGUGAUCAAUUGUGUUCAGCCUUCAGUAGUUCUUUGAGAAUUCAAUUUUGAGAGGCACUUCUAGUUUCCCGGACAACAUUGGUUCAUCUCUUUCUUCCAGAAUAAUGAAGAUCUAAAAUCUAAUUCCUGCCUAUUUCAGCCCCAGACUGUUUUCAUCCUCUUUCGUGAAAUCAGACCCACAUCCUUUUCUUUUGUAGCCCAUGUCUGAGGAUUACCUAUGUCCUCAGGAUCAAGUAGCUAUUAAAUUAGUUCUAUCAAUUGUCCAUGGGUUUAGAGGUCCCCAUGUGUGUUUUUCUUAAGUAACCACAUUUUAUUUCAGAGCACAAAGUAUAGGACUUUUGACUUGAUUACUUAGCCUUUGCUUUUUCUUUUUUUUUUUUUUAAGUUUUUGAAAAUACUAAAGGAAAUACAUUACUCUUCUUUACCCAAAUGAAAAGUUCUGAAUUUCUCUGACAUUUCAUUCCUGAAGGAGGAUUAGAGGACUUUCCUACAGAUUGACUCUGAGGUUUCAUUUUUUUUAUUAUUUUAUGCAUUCUAAUAACCUUACUUCUUUGCCUCUCCCAACUUCACCAUUCCAUGCACAUUUUCUCCCUUGCAAUACCUCAUCUAUAACAUUUUGAGGAUCAAAUAAUUCAUUUUCUAUACCAAAAGUCAUUAUAUUUUGAGUCCUUUCAGACUAUCAAGUUUCUAUAUUCCUUUUGGGAUGGUUUUUAGAAGAGUCUGUCUGUCUUAUAAAUUUUCAAAUUGAAAAUUUCCUUCUUAAAUCUAACUUAAUUCUUCUGUGUAAUAAUUCAACACGUCAAUGUUCUACCGUAUAUUUUGAGAGUAGAAGUUUGUGAGUUUGAGUCUUUGUUCAAGCUCUAUUACAUCUGAAGGGAAGGAACCUGGAUCAAUUCACAUAAUAUCUCGUUCACUUAUAAAAUGUGGACAAUAAUUAUAAUAAUUACUGUCCAGUCUUCCUCAAAGGUCAUUGUUCUGAAUACAUAUUUUUAGGUAGUUAGCAUUUAAUAAAAUUAUAUCAAAUUACUACUUUACUAUCUUCACUAGUUACCUUUGCAGUUUUUUCUGCUUCUACAGCUUUUUUUUUCACAUGAAAUCAAACUUGUAAUGUUCAUAAUAUUCAGUAAGUGCAUGAUUGUUUUCUUGCCUACAAAAAAUGUUCACUGUCCUCACUUAUAUUUUGGCAUAAAGAUCAGUUGUUUCUUGGUUCCUUUGGAAAUCAGUAUUGGUUUUCAAGGUUACAAGCACAUGGCUCUCUAUGUACUGUGAAUAAGUGCCAGUAUUUAUAAUAUGAUUCUGCAAAAACCAUAGACAAAAAAUAUUAAUAGUUUCAAAUUUAUUUUCUGCAGCUAGAUGGCUUCUCUCUUUAAGAAGCCUGCAUAUAUUUUCCUGGAUUUAUUGUGAAAGAGUAGUAAAUGACAGAAACCAGUAACUCACAAAGAUAUUCAUCAAAUAAUUAUUAAAGAUCAUUCAGUGCCCAGCAGCAGAACAGUUCUUAAAGCGCUGAGAUUACAGACGACUCUCAAAUAUUCAUGGCAGUAAGAAAAGCCUUGUAAAGAGGAUCGCCAAUCACAGAGUAGGGAUAGACUCUGCUAAUUAGGCACUGACUCGUAACGCUUAUUCACUUCUCCACUUAAACUGCUAAUUAAGGCAAAUAUAUUUAUAAAUGUAGGAAUCAACUUUUAUGGGAUAUUUGAGAUUAUUUUCAGAAUAUAAAGCAAAACAUCCCAAUCACAAUACAAGUCAAGCAUAAAGGGUUGAAAAGAUUUUAUUACAUUUCUUUAUUUUUGAGAGGCCGAGAGAGACAGAGCAGGAGCAGGAGAGGGGCAGAGAGGGAGGGAGACACAGAAUCCGAAGCAGGAUCCCCGCUCAGAGCUGUCAGCACAGAGCCCGAUGCUGGGCUCAAGUGCACGAACUGUGAUAUCAUGACCUGAGCCAAAGUCAGAUGCUCAACCGACUGAGACACCCAGGUGCCCAGGGCUGAAAAUAUUUUAAAGGGAAGUCCUCAUGAAGUAUCUCCAAUGUCAGAGACAAAUGAAUUAUAGACUUAUUCACUCCUUGUCACAAUUUAACACCCAAGGAGAGAAACACCAGAAAAGAAAAUAUGCCAUAAAGUGGGUAAUCUACUUAUUUUAAGGUUUAUUGGAAUGCUGAAGUAGUAUUCUUAUUAAGUAUCUAAAAAUAAAUGAUAAAAAAGGGUAAGGAAAAUUGAAAUAAUAAACUACUACUUUUAUGGUACAUUAGUGCUAACCUGACUGUUCUGCAUAUUCAUUUGCUUUGUAGAAUCACUGAGGAAGGUAAUAUUAUCUGCAUUUUAUAGAUGAUGAAACUGGGCAGAAGAUAUGUAAAAUUAUGGUUAAUAACUGAUAACACUAGGUGUUCAAUACAUAGUAGCUGUUAUUAUUUAUCUUUCUUGCUUUUUGCUAUUAGCUCCACAGGUCUAUUUUUGCAUUACUGCAUUCAAAGUUCAUGAAACUUAUUGCAGCUAGUACAAUUAUUUCUAUUUUAAAAACAUCUUUAAGUAGAAAAUUAGUUUUCUUUUAUAUUUAGUAGAAGCACUCAUUUUUUUUAUGUAGUUUUGAACAAAUCAUUGAUCUUCUUGGGUCAUUGUUUAAGGAAGGCAGUAAAUCCAUUCCUUACCUAUUUUUUUCAGGGACAUUAAAAGAAUCUUUCUUUUUAUUUGUGCGAUUUAUAAAACACAAUGCAUUUUUUUUGUAAUUUUGUAAAAGCAAUAUUGUAUUUCAUCAUUAAAAAUCACUCUAAAUUGUGGUUUGACAUAAUUGUUGAGACCUGGGAUCCUAAGUAACACUGUCAAGUGUUUAUAUCAUAAAAAUCAGGAAGAGGCUAAUAGGGUUUUUUUCUCUUUAGAAUAACAGAAUAAUAGACUCAAUGUCAUGAGCUGCUUAAAGAAAUACAGUACUCAAGAUAGGGUAAGGAUUAAUACCAGGUGCUUUAUUCACUGGUUAAACUUGAUAGUUCUAUUUCUUAUGGCUGUAUCUCAUUGGUAGUGCAUUCUACACACACACACACACACACACACACACACACACACACACACACCCCUUCACUGCACCCUCUGCCAAGGUAGGGAAGGUGCUUCGCUCAUUGGGAUAAUGAAAAUAUGUCGUAAAAUACAGCAUUGGAAGCCUGCUUCUGGGGUUGGUCCCAUGACUCCCAAAGACUGUAGAAACAAAGCAAUUAACUUUUUAAUUAUGCAAACCAUUCAGUAAAGUAAGCACUAAAAAGAUGCUUCAACAGUUUGCUUCAUACUGUUAAUAUUGCCUCAAUAAUGUUGAAAAUUUCAAAAUAAGCUCAAAACAGGCUAAGUGUAUAAACUCUUACUAGUUUUUGUGAAUGUACUCUUUUUAAGAUAAAUAUAGGAAAAUACUUUCAUACCCAUUUUGCUAACUUCAGAACUAUUAAAUUGUGUUAAAUAAUAUGAUUUUUAUAUUUUAUAAUGAAACUAGAAAAUAUCUUCGCUAUUUAAAGACUUGGGAACACAUAUUUUUAACUGCAACACAAGGCCCCUGACCCCCUAGGAAAUAUUUAUCUCAAAUAUGCCUAUCUUUUGAUCUAAAUUAUUGAACUUGCUUAAACUUGCUGUAGAAUAAGAAGCUUACUUAGAUACGUGACAAAUUAAGAUAAAUUGGAAAAGAAUUUUGGAUUCACUGGCAUAACAAGUUAACGGGCAUAUAUAUUAUCCAUAAAAAAGAAUUUCCAAAUCCCUUUCACUCAAGUAUUAUAUCUUGUUAUAUCUUUUAGUAGUAGCGAGAAGAAAUGGCUUACAAAGGUAGAUCGAUGAUUCGAUUGGUGGGAGCAUUUACAAUAUUGUAAUUUGUUUUUCAUGCUAAAAUAAGAAUAUAUAUUUUUAAUUUGACAUAUGGAAUCGCUUCAUGUAUUUAGAAAUAUACAGACACAAAAGAUGGUGCAUAUUUCAGUGUGAGAUUAAGUAAAAAUACCUGUAGAAGCUGGCAUAUUUAAUUCGCUAAUGAUUGACCUAGUCCUUAAGCAAGUGAAAAACCCCAUCUGCCCCUGCUGUUUAUUUUUAAUUAUCAUAUAUGUUUUAACAUCAGUGCCAUGGUCUUUAUUUCCUUCUAUGGGAAGAAGGCAGGGCAUUUCUGAAAUGAUUAAGGCAGUUCUCUUGCCUUGAAAGGGGAAAACAAGAACAGAAAUGUAAUAUAGCUACAUGGAGAGAUGCCUGCCUCUGAGCUCUUUUCAUUUUAGCAGGUUGAGAAAUAUUGCUGCACGUUAUGGCUCAGACACAUAUUCUUUCUAAACGAAGGUUACUGCCAUUGAUUUCAAAGAGCAAAAGGAUCCAUUAUAAUAUUUUUUGCACUUCAUUUAGCUAGUCUCCUGAUGGAUUGGACUUCAUGAACUACCUUCUACUUGAUGCACCUUCCUAAACAAUUUUGAGGACAAAUAAUUUAUUUUAUGGCUCACCAUGAGGAAAAUUUGACUUCCCAGUUGCUGCGUAUUUCAGAUUUUCAUUUUGAAACUUAUAAGCAAACGAAGGAAUCUCUGCUUGUUCACUUGGGAAACACGCAGAAACACACUCGUGCAUAUACACGCACCAUCCCUGACAAGCUGGGCUGAGAAGACGGAAGCCUAUCUUGGAAAAAGUUUGAGUAAUAAAUUAGGUCUUCAGAAAGAUUUUCUUUUGGAAAUGUUCUAUUAGAUUACAGUCAAUAGUUUCAUCAGCUGUAAACAUGAAAGCCUCCUACAGUAGUAUUGAGACUUCAUAUUUUAAAAUGAGUAAUAUGUUCUUUAGUAAAGUAAAUUUUAUUAAAUUGCAAAUAGAAAACUUGUUGCACAUGUUUCUGUAAUUUUGGAUAAUCUUCUCUCAUUCUUUAUCACGCCAACCUGGAAUUCAGUAUAAUUCUUUAAAUAAAACAGCAACCCAAAGACCAUAAGGCUAACUUAUGCCUAGAGUUUUCUAAUGCCUUCUACUGCUUUUCCUCCCUUGAGAAUAAGGUGUAUUUCUAUCUUUUCACUAUACAGAUUUUUGGACUGUAGUGAUUAAGUUAAAACAGCUGUAUGUUAAUUUAGAGCAUUCUCAAAUAUCGCCUCAAGGUUAUUUCACAGGAUUGCUCCAAUGUUUCCUCAUUUCAAAAUAUCCUUGACGCCUAAAGGCUCGGUUCUCCUUACGAGAGGUUUUGUUUUUUGAAAUUUUUUUUUUUCAACGUUUUUUUUAUUUAUUUUUGGGACAGAGAGAGACACAGCAUGAACGGGGGAGGGGCAGAGAGAGAGGGAGACACAGAAUCGGAAACAGGCUCCAGGCUCCGAGCCAUCAGCCCAGAGCCUGAUGCGGGGCUCGAACUCACGGACCGCGAGAUCGUGACCUGGCUGAAGUCGGACGUUUAACCGACUGCGCCACCCAGGCGCCCCGAGGUUUUGUUUUUUAAUAUCAGCCUAAAAAUCCUCGGGAGCACUUAGGCCUGGAACUACUCAUAUCCAGCAACAGGUCUCUACAAGAAACCGUGCCUGAGACCAAAACUGCCGGAGUUGGUAUUUCGAGUUUCUGUUGGAAAUGUAGGAUAAUCUGAUGUAAAUGUACCAGUUAUUCACAAUAGCGACUUCAGCAUGGUGGCCUGUGAAACCCUUCGUGCUCUUUCUCUCUGCAGUAGCACACGGCCAUAACUGCCCCCUGCUUCUGUAAUGCUUGUUAUAAGAAAGUCCUUCUGAUGCCACUCGUAAUAUACCUUUACGGAGGCAAUGCAAGAUAGACCCGACCGGUAACCGAAUUCUCUUUAAUAGUGAAUUGUAUUCUUGUGAGACUCAGCAGAGUGAUUUUCUUUCAGAGUUAAGGGUUUUAUGUUGAAAUAGUAUUUAUUUAUUUAUAUUAUUGAACAGUCUCACUGCUAUGGCUAAGAAAAUUGCUCCAUAAAAUACUUGGUAAUGUAAAUGUGAGAAUGAAAGUUAUAUAUCUGGUGAUUUAUUAAAUUUAUGACUUGUUGGAACAUGACUGUCUCUAUAAAGACAUCGAAGAUACACAUUGGAGAAUAUUCUAGCAAUGCCUUGUAAAAAUGGGACGCCGUUGUUAUUUGAAAUCUCAAAAGCAGGAACCGCUGUAGAGGUAUGCCUUCAGCAUUUCUAAGUUUGUGCGACCUGACGUUGCAAAUCUAAAUUUGAUGUAGGAAAUUUAGGACGUGCGUUUAGUUUGGAAUGCAUUCAUGUGUUUAUCUCUUUUGAUGUAUGCUAUUCCCUUACCUGUUUCUUUUAUUGGCAAGGAAUAGGAGGGUCAGUUAAGAGUAGGAAGUUAAUUGGAUUUAUGUUAGAGGGAAAACAGACCAAGGUUGAUGAACACAAGCCUAGAAUUUGAGACCACUGGUCACCCCAGAAUGAGGAAUAUUGGCCUGUAGGCAGAGGAACUCAGGGCCAUAACAAAUGUCCCGGAAGUACAUUUGUCAUAGUGAAGUAUCUUUAACUUUCUUCAUUUCCUAGGAAUUACUUUAAAUGUUUUGGUCCACAUUUCAAAGAGGAUAUAUAUAUAUAUAUAUAUAUAUAUAUAUAUGUCAUAAACUUAAAAAAAGUUUUUAUCAUCACAUUUUCUGAAUUGAUUUUGAUUGAAACUCUCUUGAGAAAUUUAGUGUAUUUGGCCCAUAAAGUUUUUACUUUGAAAAAGGGGAUUUCAGGAUUCUUUUUAUAAUAAACCCCCAUUAACGGAAAUGUUAGUAGAAUAUUUGAAAGACUCAAAAAGGUUUAGCCACACAGAAGAGUUUAUAAAAUUAUCUUUUUAUAAAUAGAAAAAAAAACAACAGCUAAAUACAAAAGAAUAUUUUGUGCUUUUUAUGCAAAUAGAAUAUACCGAGACAAAUAUUUAGUUUCUCCUUAUGCAAUAUUCUUAAAAUAGAUAUAGUUAUUGUUUUUACAAUAAAAUCCAUGUGGCGUAUGGUUUAUUUUCAAGUCCCCUUCCCAUCCAGGAAAUGUAUUACUUAACUGAAAUAUAAAAGAACAUAUAUGUUGGGGGUGGUAGUGAAAGAACAGCUUCUUCACAUAUAUUAGCAGACCCAUAUGCUGUUUAUUAAAUCCGAUGCUAGUCAACCAAUUCAGAGAGCUGAUUGAAAUAAAAGGAAAUCAGCAAAUUUGCAGAAGUAUGAAAACAUGUGCACGUGUACUACUCACGCAGUUUUAUCAUCUGUCAGAUUCCUCAGGAGUAUACCAUAUUUUUGUAGGCUUGAAAUAAAACAUUAUGAAUUCAUACAUAUAUAAUGAAAUAAAGUAUAUGCUUUGAGGGAAUAGCAUUGCCCAAAGUUGACAUUUUUGUUCAUGUAAUUUAAAUGACAGUAUUAAAAAAGGGGUUUUGUGUAUUAACUGAAUACUAACUUAGAGCAUGCUUCUUAUCUCUUUGGUUGUACAUGAAUGUGUUGAGAAGAAAAUAAUACCCAAUUUUUUUUUCUAAGCAUCUGAAAUGUUUUAUAGUCAAAGAACAACUUAUGUUUUAAAAAUAAAUUAAAAUACAUUAAGAGCAGUGUGCAAGUAUUUCAAAUAAAGGAUAGGGUGAACAGACUGUUUUAUUUUCCUUCCCUUUUCCUUCCAUAUCUAUGAAUAAUCGUUCCUUGAGGUUUAAAAUUAUAAAUAACAGUACAGAGUGGAGUUAUUUCAACUUUACAAAGGAAAUCAUCCAUUUUUUUUUUCUUUUUCAUAUUAGUAAACUCAAAAUGGCUUUGCAUAGCUCCUGCUAAUUUUAUUCAAGACUGAAGCAUUUUUGACCAAAAACAUGUUGCCAAUUGUUAGUAGAUUAUUACAUUUAUGUGGCUAAAUUCACUCCGAAUUGACGACUGUUGUUUGACUUGGCAUAGUUAGAAUAUGGUAGUUGGUACUAAAAGGAGAGAAGUAGCAAAAAAAGUUGUAAAAAAAAAGAAAUAUUUCAAUGAGGAAACUAUAAGCAAAUCAUGCUGUAGGGAAGGAUGGUUUGAGUAAGGAGAUUUUAUCCUCCAGUUAUCACUGAAGGUUGGUUACAUCAACCCCUCCCAUACAGGCAUGCAAAUUGGGACCAGAAAAAUGGAAGUAAAAAUUAUCAUCUAAUAUUUAAUUUCAGCUGGUAGAAUGGUCAUUUGUAAGUCCGAGAUGAUUAGAGCUAGGUGGACUUAGUUACCUGUCCAUUCAGACAUGGAGUUUUGCUAUGUCUAUAUUUACAGUCAGGAUUUGAGAGGUUAUAAAGAGUAUGGUUUGAUUUUUAUGAUAUGUAAUUUUUCACGAGAAAAUUCUCUUGAAAAUAAACUCUAGAAUUAUGUGUAUGUGUACAGAGUAGAAGUAUUUAUUCAUUCAUUCAUUCAUUCAUUCAUUCAUUCAUUUAUUUAAUAUCUUACCUUCUAGACUUCAUGCUACAUGAAGACAAAGACCAUAUUUUCAUGUUUAUUAUAUCUCCAGCUACUAAGGUAGUGCCUGGCAUAGAGUAGAGGUUCAGUAAAUGUAUGCUGAAUUAAUUAAAGAGUAAAUCAGUCUUCUCUCAGCCAAGGUCCACCCAUGAUUUCCAUUGUUACCUUGGUUCUUAUGCUUUAUUUUCUUUGCUUGUUCUUCUGAUAACAGUCUGUGUUGAACUACGGUGGUGGAGAAAUUAGUCAAAAUGAUUGGUGUAAAACAUACCACAUCAGAAGAGGGACAGGCUAAUCAUAAAGUCUUUGUAGAGUCUUGCAAACAUUCUUACUUAAAAUCCACAUUGGUGAUCAAUAGUGUGUACUAGUUAAGGAUUAUACAUGAAAUGAGAUAUUUAUCAUGUUUCAUAAAGGUCUAAACCUGGGACAUGGUGAAGAGUAAAUGCUGUAUUUCAAUGUAUAUUUUUCUCCUGUGCCCUAGUUGAUAGAACUAAGACGUAUCAACAGAAAUAUUUACUUUUGUAGUUGAGAUAUUAUUCUUUUUAGCAGUCUAUUUCAAGGACCUUGAACAUCAAAGAUAGCAUCUGGAUGGUACACACCUAACAUAGGGAAAAAUUAUAAUAUCCUUUGCAUGCCAUGCUCUCAAUAAAAGUAUUUUCUAGAUAAAUUGACAUUGACUAGUGGACUUUAUGAAUCUACUAAUUAUCAGCUACAGGUUAAGAACAUCACAAUUGCUAGUUCAAAUUAUUCAUACAUUUCCCAUAUGGGAUUGACUAUAUAUUUAUUUAUAUGUUCAUUCAUUCAUUUACUACUAAAAUAUAAUUGAAAUCUGACUUCAAAGACAACUAACUAUAAGGUUCAGAUCAAGGAGGCCCCUAUAUGCCACAGAAGAGACUGGUUAAAUUUCUGUCUUAAGUAAAUUUUCCACCAUCUAUGUUAUUCUUGACACAUUUCAUUCUAUAUUUAUGAAGAUCCUGGAAUAUGUUGUUGUUGCUGUUGUGUGUUUUGUUUUUUGUUUUUUUUUUCUAAAAUGGCAGUUUGAUUUACUUUCCACCCCCUGAGAGAAGAUAGAAUGACACUGGGUGGAAAUCAAGAUCGAUGGGUUUGCUAACUAAGGUCUGCAUGAGAAGUGAUUCUCUGAAUUUUCCAAGGUAGUUCUACUUAUACUAUUGCAUUUUUUUAUUUUUUAUGUUUUUUAAAUAUUCAUUUUUUGAGAGAGAGAGAGGUAGAGAGGUAGAGAGAGAGGGGGACAGAGCAUCUGGAGUAACCUCCAUGCUGACAGCAGUGAGCCUUACGUGGUGCUCAAACUCAUGAACUUUGAGAUCAUAACCUAGCCAACGUUGGACACUUAAUGGACUGAGCCACCCAGAUGCCCCUGUAUUUCUGUUUUUUUAAUCACUCAUAUUCACCUUGAGCUUGUGUAACAAUUCUACUUCAUUACUGCCCCUUCGACUCUUGUUUAUAACUUCUAUCCUCUCUCCCUCACCUCACUCUAUAGUCUUAGCCUGGUAACCAGUUCAUUAUCCUUCCAUUUGUGACCAAAAAUGGUAUGUUACUGAACGUGAUAAUUAACUGUCACACGUGAAUAUACUUUACAUAUUUCAUCUCACUUAAUCCUUGGGCCAUUUUUUUUUUUUUUACUGUUUCUUUAUUUUGAGAGACAGAGAGAGAGCAAACAGGGGAGGGGCAGAGAGAGAGAGGGAGAGAAAUAAUCCCAAGCAGGCUCCACACUGGCAGCACAAGCUGACAUGGCUCUCGAACCCACGAGUUGUGAGAUAAUGACCUGAGCCGACAUCAAGAGUUGGGCACCCAACUGACUGAGUCACUCAGAGGCCCCAAGUGGGUCAUACUAUUAUAGCUAUGAAUUCUUAAUUUGUAGAUUUUAUUUGUUCACAGGAGAGCAAAUUGUGGCUCACAGAUCUUAGGUGAUUUGCUCAAAGUCAUGCAGCCAUGACUGACUGAGUCAUGAGUGGCUGAGAUGGAGUUUGAAGACAAUCUGUCAAACAAAAGCGCCAUGUUCUUUCUAAUUAUUACAACCUGCUGUGUCUUGUCGUGCCCACCCCCCUUUUUUUUUUUUUUUACUGAAAUGGUCUUAACCUCUUUCUUCUGCAUCCCUUCCCUGCUGACCAAUUUUUUCUUCAAAGCCCACUGCAGUUAUGACCUCUUCUGUGAGGCCUUGUUGAUGCUCUUGUCCUUAGCAUUUUGUGUGUCACACAUCCGUAUGAACGUAUAUCCCAAACAUAUAUCCCAUAACAAAAUCAUCAUGGGUGAUUUUUUUGGUUUGAAAAAAAUAUGGUAAUAAUUUGUCAUAAAAAUAUUUUAUUUAUGUCACCAUGAAAUGAACCUAUUGUGGCUAUUUUCAAAGAUGCUUACAAUUAAUUAUUUUUCAGGUGUCUUAGUCUAAGUUUUGAAUAUGAUGAAAAUCAAUGAUGAUAUAUUCCACAUAAAAACAAAAGCAUUUUGGGUCCUCUACAGCUUUCAAAAGUUUAGAGAAGUCCUGAAACCCAAAUGUUUAAGUUCCUCUGACUGAAUCAGUAACUAGCACAGAUUGAACACUCAUUAAAUAUUUGAUGAGCAAAAUUGAAUUAUCAAAUUGAUAUAACAACAUUCAUUUGCAGAAAUGAUUAAUGUCUUACGUGAGGACUUAGGCUUUCUAUAAUUUUACAAGCUGACUCAAACAAUUAUAAGUUAGGAAAAGAAUGAGCAAAAUCCACAUUAUAAUGCAAUUUUACAGGGGCUCCUGGGUGGCUCAGUCCUUUAAGCAUCCGGCUUCAUCUCAGGUCAUGAUCUCGUGGUUUGUGAGUUGGGGUCUAGCGUCGGGCUCUGUGCUGACAGCUCAGAGCCUGGAGCCUGUUAGGAUUCUGGGUCACCCUCUCUCUUUCUGCCCUUCCCCCACUCAUGCUCUGUCAACCUCUCUCUGUCUUUCCCUCUCUCCUAAAAGUAAAUAAACUUUAAAAAUAAUUAAAAAAAUAAAAUGUAUUUUCACAUUUUAUUUUGAUUUCUUGAUUUCUUUUUAAUAUAAUUUGUUGUCAAACUGGCUUACAUGCAACACCUGGUGCUCAUCCCAACAAGUGCCCUCCUCAAUGCCCAUCACCCACUUUCUCCUCUCCCCCAUACCCCCAUCCACUCUCAGUUUGUUCUCUGUAUUUAAGAGCCUCUUGUGGUUUGCCUCCCUCCCUCUCUGUAAAAUUUUUUUCCCUUCCCUUCCCCCAUGGUCUUCUGUUAAGUUUCUUAAGAGCCACAUUGAGUGAAAACAUGAUUAUCUGUCCUUCUCUGGCUGACUUAAAAUAUUUUUACAUUUAAAAUUUUUUAUUCAACGUUUUUAUUUAUUUUUGGGACAGAGAGAGACAGAGCAUGAACGGGGGAGGGGCAGAGAGAGAGGGAGACACAGAAUCGGAAACAGGCUCCAGGCUCUGAGCCAUCAGCCCAGAGCCCGACGCGGGGCUCAAACUCACGGACCGCGAGAUCGUGACCUGGCUGAAGUCGGACGCUUAACUGUCUGCACCACCCAGGCGCCCCAAAAUAUUUUUACAUUUUAAAGUAAACUUCAAAUAUUAAUUAUAUCAAUUGAGUGAAAUCAUGUAUUAAUUAAAUUUAAAAUUGUAAAUGAACAUUAUUCAGUGCAUUAAUCAACAAUUAACAGUUAGACUGCUGGUUUGCAUAAUGGACAGAGAGGCCCAUACUAUUUUUUUAUGUUUAUUUUGUUAUUUUGAGAGAGAACGAGAGAGCGCAUGGGUGGGGGAGAGGAGCGGAGAGAAAGGGAGAGAGAAUCCCAAGUUGACUCCACUCUCACCACAGAGCCCAAUGACUGAUGAGUGGUGGUGUUCGAUCCCAUGACCAUGAGAUUUCAUGAUCUGAGCCAAAACCAAGAGUUGGGCUCCCAAAUGACUAAGCCACCCAAGCACCCAAGUGGGUAAUACUAUUAUAGCUAUAAAUGGUGAAAUUUAUAGGGAGAGCAGAUUUGUAAAACAUUAGGAAUUUGAAAAUAAGCAAAAUAUCAUAGAUUUGCUAGAAGCUUUAUAUAAUAUUUUAAUGCAACUAAAUUUUGAAAUUUUAAAAAAAUUGUCAAAAAAUGUAUCAUAACUCCAGAUCUGUAUAUGGCAAAACUCCCAUUGUCACUAUAAGAGUAAAUUUUUAGGAAAGAGUGUGUAAUAUAAAAUAAAAUUAAUGAGCAUCUUCAGUUAAAGAGAAAAGAGCAAAAGGAUAUUUCAUGUUUUUGCUUUAGAGUUAAAGAAAUUUAAACAUCAUAUGCUAGCAUUAAUACACCCUAUUUUGAAUGCAUAUAUAUCAAACUCAUUUAAAAUGCAAUUCAGUAUUAGUAGCUGAGGUUUACACUUAAAUGCUUUUUAUACUAUUUCCUAAUUUCUUCAUUGUACAGUCAUUUACCAAAGCUGGAUUCUGGUAAUAGCAAACUUUUUUACUUAGCUGAUUUAUAUUGCCCUUAAGCUAUGCAAGCUAUGCUUUUAAAUCUUAGGAGUACAGAAUAUAACACAGGAGUCUAGAAACCCAUUCUUAACACUUACUAAUAAGAGCUGAAUAAAAGAUUAACAGCUAUUCUUUUAUCUUAAAUCGUUAUGAUUUUUACUGAUUAAAAUAAAACAUCAGGUGCUGCCUACACGAUACUAUUUCCCCCUUUGCAUUUUCUGGCUUUUCCUUCCUUGUGCUCUCAGUAGUUAAGUUUGACUAAUAACCUCAUUCAAGGUUUAUAUGUAUAAGAUAUACAUAAUAAAUAAUGGAUUUAUAAAAUAAGUACAAAAUAAGAUGCAUUUUGCAAGGAGUUCAUUGGAUGAUGUCAUGUUUGCAAAGCACGCUUUUUUUUAAUGUAUUUAUUUUGAAAGAAAGAGAGUGAGUGAAUGGAGGAGGGGAAGAGAGAGAGAGAGAGAGAGAGAGAGAAUCCCAAGCACGCUCCAUGAUGUCAGAGCAGAGCUGUACAUGGGGCUCAAACCCACAAACCCUGAGAUCAUGAUGUGAGCCAAUAUCAAGAGUUGGAUGCUUAACUGACUGAGCCACCCAAACACCCCUGCAAUAGCACAUUACGAAUGCUACAAGAACAGGUAGUGUUCCUUCUGCAAAAGUUUUCAGGUUCCACCUCUCUCCAUUGCCCGAGUGGGAGAUCUUAAUCCUGUCACGCCAAAGUGAGCACAGACAACCGGGCUGGCCUGUCCACACGCCAGCCCUGCCCAUAUACACAAGGACACUAACAUUAUGUUUAUUAAAAUACCCUUUUUGAUCAUUAUUUAGCCUCUAUUAGCAAGAAGGAGGAUGAAAGAAAAUCAGAACUAUCUCGUUGCCCAGAGCAUGGUUUCCACAGUGUAACACACUAGACUGCUCAUCUUCAGUAGAGACUUUCGGUAGGAAUGUGCGAGACUGUGGGGGAAGUUUUAGAGUUAGACCCAGAGCUGAAAUAUGUUUUCUAAUUGUUAGAAAAAAAAUUGUUUUUAAGAUAGACCUUACAAAGAGGAUAAGGAAAGCAAUAGGGUUAUCAGGAAUGUUUACCCAGUGUGGUAAAUAGUGUUUUCUCAUAUGUCCUUGUACCAGACACACUGGGGUUUUGAGAAAAGCUUAAGACAUUAAAUAGAGAACAGCAGUCUCACGGGCCAAAUUAAUCUUAUAUUGAUAGAUGCGUCUCUUCAACAUAUCAAGGUGUCUUCCUCUUCUUCUUCUUCUACUUUUUCUUCUUCUUCUUUUUAAGUUUAUUUGUUUAUUUUGAGAGAGAGAGAGAGAGAGAGAGAGAGAGAGAGGAGGGGCAGAAAGAAAGGGAGAGAGAGAAUUCCAAGCAGACUGUGCACUGCCAGUGAAGAGCCCAACUUGGGGCUCAAACUCACUAACCAUGAGAUUAUGACCUGAUCUGAAUUCAAGAGUCAGACACUUAACCGACUGACACUUAACCACCCAGGCACCCCCAUCAAGGUGUCAUUUACGCUUCCUUCCAUUGCACUGUCUAUUCUGGUUGGAGUCACUUCAGACCUGCCAGCACUCAACACCCUCCUUUCCACAUAAUGCCUUUGGUUGCAUCAGCUUUCCUUCCUGCAAGCUGCUUCUUUCUUCUAUCCUUUACCCUUAUCCUACUCAGUCUUUGAGAAGAACCUCAGCAUCUGUCUUGUCAAAGUUUGCUCCCCUCACCUCUUCUCUUGUAAUUUCCAGGUGCUACAAAGUUUGACCCUUAGUUUUGAUCCCCACCUAAAGACUGGAAUCCUUAUGUGUAUGAACCAAGACUUGUGCCUUAUUCUUCCGUGUGACAGUUCAACAUUGUGCUCUCUGUGAUUACUUCACUCAGUCACAUGCCCAUGAGUGUGUGUAUCUUAAUAUCAGUAUUUCUACCUUGAUUAUAUAUUUUUCCAAAAAUAGAAAUUAGGAGAGGCCGACUUUACAAUGGGCCGACCCAUGGUAUUCUCUUUUAUGUCAUUGUUGUUCCAUGUAUGUGACAGAGAAUCUCUGUCCUUUAGGAAAAGCAGUCUCAUUAAAACCCUCUAAUGUCAAUUCUGCUCAAUAAUAAUUACACAGUAUCUCUCUGUUCACUUUUUAUUUUCGUUUUUCAUUCAGGUGAAAAUCUAGCUUAUAUCGUUGUCCAUAAGCAGAUUCCUACCAAAUACCCUCCUAGCGCCAGAGAUCAUUUUAUUCCCCUGGCUUCUACCUCUUACAUAUAAAGAAAAAAUAGCUCUUAAUUUUGCAUUAUUUAAUCCAUAAUGUUCCCUUCUCCAGUCCACGAAUCCAUGACUCUUUAAAAUUCCUGUUUAAUCUUUUCAGUUACUAUUCUAUGUGGUUACAGUUAUUUAUAAACUCAGCUAUUUAUAAAAUCAUUUUAUAUUACUUGUUAAAUCUUGAAAAGUUGUACUAUUAGUGUUAUUUUGUGUUUUAUGUGUGUGUAUUUAUUUUCCAAAAUUUCUCAUAAGUAUAUCUUUGGUUAUUUUUGUAUCUUCCGAAUUAUAGUGCUAAUUUUCAAAUCUAUUACAUCAUAAUAACCUUCCCAAGGUCUAAGGAAGAAUUUACUAUAUACAAAAUCCUUAGGGUAUUAGGAAGCCGCAAAAAAAAUACUGUACUUUAUGCUGCAUGCAAGAACCUUAUAACAAAUUAAGAGCAUGUGGAUCCUUUUUCUUCUGGCUUGCGAAAUUCCCACAUUUGGUUCUUCCAAAGACAAAAUGAUGAUUCCAAAAUACUCUCUCAGGAAUAUUUAAAUAUAGGAAUAAUUAGGUUUAUUUUUUUUUCCUUACUCCUUACUGGAAUGUGUAGGUUUUAAUUUUAAGAGGGAAUUUAAGGUUUAAAAUAUUAUGUGAAAUAACAAUAUUUUUAAAAUUAAAUACAAAAUUUAAAGAUUAUGAGAAAAAACAAAGCUAUAAAAAUAUGUUUAAACCUAUCAGAUACAAAUUAAAUUGUCUCCUUUGAGGUUUUCUUUUCUUUUUUUUUAUUUCAACAGGCCUAGACUACAUAUGCCUUCAGAAUUCUUUGAUGCUAAUCUCUUAUGAUAACCAAUUAGUUUCUAAAUUUCUCAAUUCAAGGGCUGACUAAUACUGUUGCCUAAUCAUUAGGUGGGUCAUGUUACUUUAAAAAGAGAUGAUGGCUAAUAGUAAGCAGUGUGUCAAGAAUCAGAGGAAUUGAGAAAUUGGAAAAUUUGGAGACACCCUGUCUAAACAAGAUUAAGAUAAAACCAAAAGGAUUAUCAUGCUUCUAACCCCUCAGAUCUUUGUGAUAGCUGCAUUCCUAAAUGUCAGGAUUAAAGGAUAGAAUCACAUUCAGAGUGCAGACAUGUAUUCAUGAAAAUCCCUGUCUUUAAACAAAAAUUCAAGAAUGUCCCAACCCGUCCAUAAUACACUAAGAAACGUAUUGGGGUGAGGAGUCAUUUUUUUUUUCACAAAGAAAAAUUAAUUCCCUCCUAUUUUUCAUUUUCUACAAUAUUUUUCUUUUCUGUUUUACUAUUUUUUUUUAAAUUUGGAAUUCAAAUUUUAGAGGAGCCUUGAUUCGCAACAAAACUGAGAAAAAGGUACAGAGAUUUCCCAGAUACCACCCCCCCUCCACACAUGCACAGCUUCCUCCGUUAUCAACAACCCCACCACAGUGGAAUACCCCUUAUUUUCUUCAUAAAACUGUGCAUAUCUUUUUACAAGUUUAUUUCCACUUUGUAUAAAAAUGUCUCUAAAUAGCGUAAAACAAUUACUUUUCAUAGGUAGUGUGUAUCUAAAUACAAACCUACAAAACUAAAGAUUAAAAACAAAUACGAAGAACAAAAUCAAGUAGCAGUGUUUGGUUUUCAGGUGUGGUAUGAUCUCAUAUAUUGGUAUAUGAAAACAAUCACUAUUAAAAUCCAACUUGUUUACCAUUAUCAACUGUUUUUAAACAUUUCCAUUUUACUUCUUUUUAUAUAACUCAUAUAUUUACUUUUCAAAAUGUACAUAUGGUCAAGAUUAAAUCAUGUCUACAACAUAUAAUUAGAACGUAAGCCUUUUUUAAUAAAUUUUAUUAGUUACACCUCUUGCAGUGCAUAGGAAUUUUAAGUUUAAUUCUUUUUUAUUAAAUUCUUUUUUAUUAAGUUAAUAAAUUGAAGUUGUUUUGAUAUCAGAACUACAUCCCCUUAGGAGAAUGUAAGAAAGAAAGUUGGUUGGGAGCCAGUUAUGUAGCAAUUGGGUAGAGGCAGAAUGAGGAGAUGAUAAUGACCCUACUGUGUGUUGGAAAAAUACGUAUAUGUUUGAUAUUGUUUAUCUUAUAUAGUUUUUUUUUUCUUAAACCUGGUGUAAAGAAAAUCUAUACCCAAAUAUCAAAGAGAGAAUAAGAUAGUACUAUUAUGUGUAGUAGCUCCCCGUAUCCCUAGACUUGGAAGAUUUUGGUCGUAAGAAUGUGCCCACUGACAACGUCAAUAUACCUAAUUUGCACAAGUGAUUCUUGAAGUUUGUCUAGAUUUUAAGAAAGGAAAGAAAGGAAACAAAAUCAGAGUUUUUGGAAAUUGUUUUAUUGGCCAGGUCUAUGGAUGGACACCAUUGUGUAGGGACUGCUGAUUUUCCCUUUACAUAUUUCCCCAUCUCCCUUCCCCAGGUGUUGCUGCCAUCACUACCUUUCCCUUCCUCCCCUUUCCUCAUGGCAAGACGCAUGGA